GGGUGCGCUGGGGGGGGGGAGCGCCUGCUCGUUGCACGCAGGGAGGUCAGCGGUUCGAUCCCGCUAGUCUCCACCA
rnacentral:tRNA from 1 species